UGAGAGCGCGUACGGGUGCGGNACACGUGUGCACGCUUUAUCUGGGGNAUAGCUUCGAAGGAGAUUAUACCCCAUAUUAUUGUUGAUUGGCUUCAUCGACAUUGAAAACUCCGGUGGAUAAAGAUGGGCACGCGCAAGAUUAGAUAGUUGGUGAGGUAACGGUCACCAAGUCUACAAUCUUAGGGGCCUGAGAGGGUGAUCCCCCACACUGGUACUGAGACACGGACCAGACUCCUACGGGAGGCAGCAGUGAGGAAUAUUGGACAAUGGGUGAGAGCCUGAUCCAGCCAUCCCGCGUGAAGGACGACUGCCCUAUGGGUUGUAAACUUCUUUUGUAUAGGGAUAAACCUACCCUCGUGAGGGUAGCUGAAGGUACUAUACGAAUAACACCGGCUACUCCGUGCCACAGCCGCGGUAAUACGGAGGUGCAGCGUUCGGAUUAUGGUUAAGGUCGAGGAUCUUGAUCUGGUGAAUCUCCUUUAUGUUAAAUGCUAUCUGGUCUAGUGUGGUUGAAUUAUGGAAUAGUAGUGUAGGGUGAAAUGGCUUAAUUUUCUUUAAACCCCCUUGGGAAGGGGGUCCUGACCAAAUUUGGCGCUAGGC
rnacentral:rRNA from 1 species